rnacentral:piRNA from 1 species
AGGAGUCUGUUCUGUGCCUAGAUUUGC